rnacentral:lncRNA from 1 species
UACUCAGUGAGAGAAAAUGAUUAUAAUCAAUAAACGACAAAGGGGGAGAUUGUUAGAAUCCUUUGGAUUCUAAUUAUACGAGAAUUAAUGAAACUUGUGCCACAAGUUUGCAUAUACCGUGAGCUAAAGAAGGGAAGAGUCCUCGUAGCUUUUAAUUCUUUUAAUUUGUCAUUAAUUGAUUUAUAAUAGGAAUUAUUCUUCUAAAGAGUUAUUCUUAUUUUAACCCAAGACUUUCUUG